GACGAACGCUGGCGGCGUGCUUGACACAUGCAAGUCGAACGGAAAGGCCUGCUUUCCCUUGUGGAUUGCGGGUACUCGAGUGGCGAACGGGUGAGUAACACGUGAGUGAUCUGCCCCCAACUUGGGUAUAAGCCUGGGAAACUGGGUCUAAUUCCCGAUAGGACUGCAGGGUGGUGCCUGUGGUGGAAAACGAUUUUCUAGUGGUUGGGGAUGAGCUCGCGGCCUAUCAGCUUGUUGGUGGGGUAAUGGCCUACCAAGGCGGCGACGGGUAGCCGGCCUGGGAGGGUGGACGGCCACAUUGGGACUGAGAUACGGCCCAGACUCCUACGGGAGGCAGCAGUGGGGAAUAAUGCACAAUGGGCGGAAGCCUGAUGCAGCGACGCCGCGUGGGGGAUGACGGCCUUCGGGUUGUAAACUCCUUUCGACCGCGAGGAAGCCACCUGGUUGGAAGGGUGGUGACGGUAGUGGUAGAAGAAGCACCGGCUAACUACGUG
rnacentral:rRNA from 1 species